rnacentral:rRNA from 1 species
UACGGGGGGGGCAAGCGUUGUUCGGAAUUACUGGGCGUAAAGGGCCAGUAGGCGGCCAACUAAGUCGGAUGUGAAAUCCCCAGCUUAACCUGGGAACUGCAUCCGAUACUGGAUGGCUUGAAUUCGGGAGAGGGAUGCAGAAUUCCAGGUGUAGCGGUGAAAUGCGUAGAUAUCUGGAGGAAUACCGGUGGCGAAGGCGGCAUCCUGGACCGAGACUGACGCUGAGGCGCGAAAGCGUGGGGAGCAAACAAGGAUUAAGAAACCCU